GGGGCCGUAGUCUAGCCUGGCUAGGAUGCCGAGGAACUCUCAGUUCCGCAUAGGCCUGGGGAUCCACCCCGUAGAAAAAGGACCGUAACGCCGGUGAACCCGGGUUCAAAUCCCGGCGGCCCCA
rnacentral:tRNA from 1 species